rfam:Myotis lucifugus cont2.3935, whole genome shotgun sequence.
GAGAUACCCCUAUGGAACAAGAUUUGCUUCAGUGGGGUUUUGGUGCUCACUGAGUUUGUGCCUUGAGUGUGUCACU